GAUGAACGCUAGCUACAGGCUUAACACAUGCAAGUCGAGGGGAAACGCCAUCGAAAGCUUGCUUUUGAUGGGCGUCGACCGGCGCACGGGUGAGUAACGCGUAUCCAACCUGCCCACCACUUGGGGAUACCUUGCGAAAGUUAGUAUAAUACCCAAAGAGUACACACGAAGGCAUCCGUAUGGGGAUACAGAUUUAUCGGUGAUGGAUGGGGAUGCGUCUGAUUAGCUUGUUGGUGGGGUGACGGCCCACCAAGGCAACGAUCAGUAGGGGUACUGAGAGGAAGGUCCCCCACAUUGGAACUGAGACACGGUCCAAACGCCUACGGGAGGCAGCAGUGAGGAAGAUUGGUCAAUGGGCGAGAGCCUGAACCAGCCAAGUAGCGUGCAGGAGGACGGCCCUAUGGGUUGUAAACUGCUUUUAUAAGGGAAGAAAGUGGGUCACGUGUGACUUUUUGCAGGUACCUUAUGAAUAAGGACCGGCUAAUUCCGUG
rnacentral:rRNA from 1 species